rnacentral:rRNA from 1 species
UACGUAGGGUGCAAGCGUUGUCCGGAAUUAUUGGGCGUAAAGAGCUCGUAGGCGGUUUGUCGCGUCUGCUGUGAAAACUCAGGGCUUAACCCUGAGCCUGCAGUGGGUACGGGCAGACUAGAGUGUGGUAGGGGAGAUCGGAAUUCCUGGUGUAGCGGUGAAAUGCGCAGAUAUCAGGAGGAACACCGGUGGCGAAGGCGGAUCUCGUGGGCCGAUACUGACGCUGAGGAGCGAAAGCGUGGGGAGCGAACAGG